AAUUGUUACUACAUCUUAGACGAAUCCAUUAGUCUGGACAAAAUGUACCUGCACAUAAAAUAAUAUAGCUGUUUGUUAAGUAAUAAAUGAAGAUUUAAUUUUGGAUAGAAAUAUACAGAACGCUGACAACUUUUUUUUAUUUCCUGGCGAAUGUAAAAUUAAUUAUUUUUAUUUAAAUGAUAAAUGCACUUCAAUAACUUUAAUUUACCAAAUUCACAAAGUAUUAGUGCUGACAACAUUAUAGCAUCCACAUUAUUUACUCAUUUCAAAAUAACAGGAAAAAGAAAAAGCAGGUUCCAAACAAGAAUGUGUCCUUAGUACACGAAUGCCCCACUCGCACUUUCAUUUUCUAUGUUCAGUG
rnacentral:lncRNA from 1 species